rnacentral:rRNA from 1 species
GACGAACGCUGGCGGCGUGCCUAAUACAUGCAAGUUGAGCGCUGAAGGUUGGUACUUGUACCAACUGGAUGAGCAGCGAACGGGUGAGUAACGCGUGGGGAAUCUGCCUUUGAGCGGGGGACAACAUUUGGAAACGAAUGCUAAUACCGCAUAAAAACUUUAAACACAAGUUUUAAGUUUGAAAGAUGCAAUUGCAUCACUCAAAGAUGAUCCCGCGUUGUAUUAGCUAGUUGGUGAGGUAAAGGCUCACCAAGGCGAUGAUACAUAGCCGACCUGAGAGGGUGAUCGGCCACAUUGGGACUGAGACACGGCCCAAUCGCCUACGGGAGGCAGCAGUAGGGAAUCUUCGGCAAUAGACGAAAGUCUGACCGAGCAACGCCGCGUGAGUGAAGAAGGUUUUCGGAUCGUAAAACUCUGUUGGUAGAGAAGAACGUUGGUGAGAGUGGAAAGCUCAUCAAGUGACGGUAACUACCCAGAAAGGGACGGCUAACUACGUG